rnacentral:rRNA from 1 species
GAUGAACGCUGGCGGCGUGCCUAAUACAUGCAAGUCGAGCGAACAGACGAGGAGCUUGCUCCUCUGACGUUAGCGGCGGACGGGUGAGUAACACGUGGAUAACCUACCUAUAAGACUGGGAUAACUUCGGGAAACCGGAGCUAAUACCGGAUAAUAUAUUGAACCGCAUGGUUCAAUAGUGAAAGACGGUUUUGCUGUCACUUAUAGAUGGAUCCGCGCCGCAUUAGCUAGUUGGUAAGGUAACGGCUUACCAAGGCAACGAUGCGUAGCCGACCUGAGAGGGUGAUCGGCCACACGGGAACUGAGACACGGUCCAGACUCCUACGGGAGGCAGCAGAAGGGAAUCUUCCGCAAUGGGCGAAAGCUUGACGGAGCAACGCCGCGUGAGUGAUGAAGGUCUUCGGAUCGUAAAACUCUGUUAUUAGGGAAGAACAAAUGUGUAAGUAACUAUGCACGUCUUGACGGUACCUAAUCAGAAAGCCACGGCUAACUACGUG